rnacentral:lncRNA from 1 species
GAGGGAUGGGAUUAUCCUGCCGUGCCACCAGGAGCCUGGGGACCACGUGCUGUGGGUGCUGGCACAAAACUCCUCCAUCCAUCACUGCAGGAGCAGCACUUUUUGCUGCAGCGACAGGAACUCGGAGCAACCCUGCAAAGAGUGGUCCAGCAGCACAAGAAGAAGAUGACAUCCAUCGAGUGUGAGUGCUUCAGCAGGGUCUGCAGCCUGCGAGGAGUUGCCAGCUGCUGGUGGACCUGAACAAUAAGAGAUUGACCAAAACCUCGAGCGAUGGCAACAAUCAAGGGGGUCUCAAGUUUCAACCCUGAGCAAGAAGCGCAGGCACUCAGGAAGGCCAUGAAGGGCUUUGG